UCAUCCUACACCGUUUCCUUCUCUUCUAUAACCUGCUCUCUCUCUCCAGUGUCCCUCUUCGUCCAUCAUCUUCCUCUGUGGCAAGGAAUCUGACUCAACCAGCAGAAGGUUUUGCAAUAUCUCCACAACCUUGGGAUUGUGCAUAGGGAUGUAAAACCAGCAAAUAUUCCUCUUGGCAAAAACCUUUACCCACACCUAGCAGAUUUUGGUUUGGCAGAAUACAAAAAAGAUCUGAAACGAGUUUCUGUUGAUAAGUGGAAAUCAACUGGCAAGCCAACUGGGUUUGAACUAAUUUCUGUCACACCCUCUUGUACAAAUUUCUCCAGCAGUGUUUAGUGUAAACAACAUACUAUAUUUAGUGUAUACAAUAUACUAUGAUAAAUAGGGUGUUUUCAGUGAAUCUACCUAUGCCUUUAUUUUUAAUAAUCUGAUGUGAAUAAAAAAAAAAAAAAAAAUUUUGAA